AUCUGGGCUGGCUUUGGAUGUGUUUCAUCUUGCAAGACUGGUCGUUAAGGUGUUGGGACUGUGGAGUGACUAGGUGGCGCUCUCUAUGUCAUUUCUCAUAGGAAGAUUAGAUGUGGUUGUUCUUCCUUUUGUUAGUGAUGUUUUACUUUUCUAGUCUUCGUCCAGUUUGUUCAAUAAAAUCCAGAAACUCUAUUGAUUUUUUUGUUUUUCUCACAUAAUUCUAGAAACUUGCUUGAGUUUGCUAGGUGUUCGUAGUCCCUUUAGGAGAAACAUGCCGGUUAUCGGUUGAUUGUGUCUUUGAUGUAGUUGAACUAGAUUCGAGAAAACUAUAGUGGUAGAAAGAUGUUAUAAUAAAGUUAUUUUUGAGAGUGAUUCUCUCAAAAUCGUUUUAGCUCUUCGACUAUAUCGUCACUAGGAAAGUGUUUACCUAUGUUCUCCAUACUGCUAAUGGGAUUGCUUCCAUUACAACAUUUGUCCUUUGUGCUUUUUUCCCUAUUGAUAAAAAACCCAAGAGACUACAGCAGCUGCCGUCCCAUUUGGAGGUCGGUGGCUUCUCGCCCCCUUUAUGUCUCCUCUCCUUUUUCUCCAUCUUCCCCUCCUCUUUUCUUUUCUAGUUCUUCCCCUCCCCUUCUCUUUCCUAGUUCUUCCCCUUUCCUCUCUCUCCAUUGUCGUUUCUCUAACUCUCUCUCCCUCCUCUAGUCUUCCUUCCCUCAUCUUUUGGGGAUACUUGUGGGGUUCAAAUCCUUAUGGAUUUUGGGUUCUCUUGCUCAGAUCUGUUUGGAUCUUGGAGUUUGUUUGUUUUGUAUGUUUUUGUUGUGGGGUCUUAUUGGAUUUAUGUUGCCACUCGAUCUUUUGCUUGAUUUUUUUACUGGUUUUUCUGUUGCUGGGAUGGAUGGGUUGUGGUAGCUGUUGACCCAACUUGUUUUGUUUUGAUGUGUUGUUGAAGCAGUCACUACAAAUCAACGUAGUCGCCAUGAUGCAGUUGCCACUUGAUUUGGAGCUGGAAAAAUGAAAGUUGAUGGGUUGUGUUGGAUCGGGUUUAGCCGGUGCAGCACUAUAUGUUUAGUCAGUAUGGUGCAACGAGUCUUUUGGUUUGCAGGAGAGGAUGUGGAGUGGUGUUCGUGUUCUUUGUUUGUUGUAGUAUAAUAAUUCUCAUAAACUCUUUAAGAGUUUUUUGAAGUUUGUAUUUUACUUUUCGACUUUGCGAUACAGAUUUUCCGUUUCUUCUGUUGCGCAGUUGAUAUGUAUUGUAAGUUUGAGUAAAGUGCUUUAGUCUAUCAAAUUAGAGUUUUAAUCCUUUCUAUUUUUAAGCAUAAUUCACUCCAGAUCAAACCAAAUUGUUUUUGUGUUUGGUCAUUGGACAUGUUGUACUCAUAUUCGACAUUAUGGAUGCCCUGUACUUAAUUUUGAUUUAUCAAUAAAUUACUAUCACUUUUCUAAAAAAAAAAAAAAAAAAAGACUGUAAAACCAAUUAAUGUAUGAUGGUAACCAAAAAUGUGCGAAGCCAACUCAGUACUAAUAUGCAUUCAAUAUUAAUCGUUAAAGCGACAGUUAAUAAAUGACAUUCAAUAUGAAAGUGGGAAUUGAAAUGGCUCCAUAAUAGAUUCAUGAACAUUGUGCUGAUGCCUAAAUUUGGUUCAACAGAGGGACGAACUUUUUAAAGUCGAUGUAAAUUUUCUUAUGAAUUUUGAAAUUUUAGCGUGAUUUGACAAUUUUCUUUUAAAUUUUCUUUCCCCUCCCUUCUCUCUCUUCCUCACUCGAUGGCUGCACAAUGAAACCCACAACAGUUUGACUUCCCAGCAACAACCUUCGGCCACGAUUUUGGUCUGGUUUUGUUCCUAUCAGGCAGCCCUACACUUUACCCACAAUCCCUUCUCCGAAUAACUACCAAAUGACACGGAUUCAAGUUGAAAAAAAUUCUAGAAUAAGUAGUUAGAUGCCUUUGUGAGUUGGCGCUGCUGCGGUUUCCUGCCACCAUCGUUGGCCAAGUUGGGUGGGUGUUGUUCCCCAUCCUCUAAGGAGUUGAACUCACCUAGCCUUAUCGUCG
rnacentral:lncRNA from 1 species